CGAUAGGCUUAACACAUGCAAGUCGAGGGGCAUCACGAGGUAGCAAUACUUUGGUGGCGACCGGCGUACGGGUGCGUAACACGUAUGCAACCUUCCUGUAAGUGUGGGAUAGCCUCCUGAAAGGGAGAUUAAUACCUCAUGAUAUGUAUUUGCUGCAUGGCAUUUACAUUAAACAUUUAUGGCUUACAGAUGGGCAUGCGCAUGAUUAGCUAGUUGGAGAGGUAACGGCUCCCCAAGGCAACGAUCAUUAGGGGUUCUGAGAGGAAGGUCCCCCACACUGGUACUGAGACACGGACCAGACUCCUACGGGAGGCAGCAGUGAGGAAUAUUGGUCAAUGGACGAGAGUCUGAACCAGCCAAGUCGCGUGCAGGAAGAAUGUCCUAUGGAUUGUAAACUGCUUUUGCAGGGGAAUAAAGUGCAUCACGUGUGAUGUUUUGUAUGUACUCUGCGAAUAAGGAUCGGCUAACUCCGUG
rnacentral:rRNA from 1 species